GGACGUGUUUGAUUUGACAUUCCUUUCACUCCUUUGUGCCUUCCUUGGCACAUUUACUCCAUCAGCUAGUAAAUAUUCAUUGAGCACCCUCUAUUGGAAAGUGACCCCGAGGCAGAGGAGAGCAGCUGGAGGCGCUGGACAUGGGGCAGACAGACAGUGUGAAGGCGGCUGUGCUGCGGGCCUUGGGCACAGGUUUUAAGAAAAGAAUAGAAAUUCAACAAAUAGAGAAGUGGAGAGAGGCAUUCUACGCAGAGGGAAGAGUACGUUCAAAAGCCCUGAGGCCACACACACUCAACACUCUGAGGCACUGAUAAGCCAGUAGAGUUGAGGUUCUGGGAGCCAGAGGAAAAUCAGGAAAAUGAGGCUGGGAGCUUGAUCCCGGUGAGAUGAGGACACUGAGGCUCAGAGAGGCCCUACAGCCACACAGCGAGGACACGAUACUUCAUGACUACGAUUGCCUCAACACAGAAAUACCUCGCCGCACCCUUGCUGCUGCCUCAAGCGAGAUCCUGAAAACCACUUUCUGCUGGUGCUGCCCUCCACUGCUGCUUGCUUCCAGAAACACCCCGCCUCACAGGGCUCAGGGCUCAUUCCCUCCUCUGUGAAUGGGAAGGAACAAUGAGGGGACACAUUUCACCGGCUCACGAGGUAAGGUACGGAAAGCAGUUGGCACAGGGCUUGGCAUUCAACCGUGUGUAAGUAAGCAAUGCUAGGAACUGUGAUUAUUGUUUCUGGUGGUCAUUCCCGCCUCUUCAAAACUCUCCUGGGUGGUCAAGGAUCUCCAUGAUUCUGUACUCUGGGGUCCCCUGCUGUGCCUCCCCUCUGGCUCCCUCCCAGACUCCUUCCCUGGAGCCCUGUACUGCUGCCUGCCUCUCCAACAG